UUCUUCUUCCUCUUCCUCCUCCGUCCUACCAGCUGGCGCGCAGGGGAGCGCAGAGAAGAGCGAAGAGGGGAAGGAAGCAUCGGGAACCCGCCGUCACCGAGCGAUCCAGGGGCCCCCUUUCGCCUCGGGAAAUCUCUUCUUCCGCCGCCUACAGGAUUGUCGCAAUGCACCGGCAGAAGCACCGGCGGUAGUGGUACAGGAUCUGCUCGUCUUCCUCUCGCUCAUUUGCCUUGGUGGGAGAGAUUCGUAUUCGGACGGCACAAUGCGGACCUCGGUGAUGGCGGAUCCGGUCAGUCGGAGAAGCCAUCCCCGAAGGAAGGACCAGGGGAUGAGUCGGAGUUGGUGCUGUUCCUUCGGGGUUGCUACGCAGAGCCCCGACAACCGCGUUGCUGGCGCCGUCCGCCCCUCCCAGAGGCCUCCGUCGAAGCCUCCGAAG
rnacentral:lncRNA from 1 species